rnacentral:misc_RNA from 1 species
UACCGUUAAGGAUAGCAAUGAAAAUCCUUUGAAAAAGAUUGUAAUGGGUAGCCCGGGCCACA